CCCUUAGAUGUUCUGGGCCGCACGCGCGCUACACUGAUGCAUUCAACGAGCCUAUCCUUGACCGACAGGUCCGGGUAAUCUUUGAAUCUGCAUCGUGACGGGGAUAGAUUAUUGCAAUUAUUAAUCUUCAACGAGGAAUGCCUAGUAGGCGCAAGUCAUCAACUUGCGUCGAUUACGUCCCUGCCCUUUGUACACACCGCCCGUCGCUCCUACCGAUUGGGUGUGCUGGUGAAAUGUUCGGAUCGGCCGUUUGUCGCGGUUUCCGCGGCUCGUGGCUGAGAAGUUCAUUAAACCCUCCCACCUAGAGGAAGGAGAAGUCGUAACA
rnacentral:rRNA from 1 species